AGUGAACGCUGGCGGUAUGCCUAACACAUGCAAGUCGAACGGGAACCCCGGAGAGCUUGCUCUCUGGUUGCGGAGUGGCGGGUAAGUCAGGAAAACCUGGCCAUCUGCGGAGUCGAACGGGUUGAAGCAGGGACAAAUACCCCAAUAGCGCAUACGACCAACGGGGGAAAGAGGGGGGGCGCAAGACCCCUCGGAUUUGGAUGAGCCGAAGUCGGAUUAGCACGUUGGCGGGGUAAUGUCCCACCAAGGCGACGAUCCGUAGCUGGUCUGAGAGGAUGACCAGCCACACUGGAACUGAGACACGGUCCAGACUCCGACGGGAGGCAGCAGUGGGGAAUAUUGGACAAUGGGCGCAAGCCUGAUCCAGCCAUGCCGCGUGGGUUAAGAAGGCCUUCGGGUUGUAAAGCACUUUUGUUGGGAAAGAAAACGUUCAGGCUAAUACCCUGGGAGGAUGACGGUACCCAAAGAAUAAGCACCGGCUAACUUCGUG
rnacentral:rRNA from 1 species